GAUGAAGAACGUAGCGAAAUGCGAUAAGUAAUGCGAAUUGCAGAAUUCCGUGAGUCAUCGAAUCUUUGAACGCACAUUGCGCCCUUUGGCAUUCCGAAGGGCAUGCCUGUUCGAGCGUCAUUUAUCAACCCUCAAGCCCGGCUUGCGGUUGGGUCCCGCCGUGGGCGACCACGGCGGACCCGAAAGGUAAUGGCGGUGCCCGUGGGGCCCUGGACGCAGCGAGCUUCUCGGCACGCGUCCCGGCGGUCCCCGGCGCCGUCUCCACCAAUCCACCACGCAGAUUGACCUCGGAUCAGGUAGGGAUACCCGCUGAACUUAAGCAUAUCAAUAAGCGGAGGA
rnacentral:misc_RNA from 1 species